AUUGAACGCUGGCGGCAGGCCUAACACAUGCAAGUCGAGCGAGCGGCGGACGGGUGAGUAAUGUCUGGGAAACUGCCUGAUGGAGGGGGAUAACUACUGGAAACGGUAGCUAAUACCGCAUACUAUCAGAUGAGCCUAGGUCGGAUUAGCUAGUUGGUGGGGUAAAGGCCUACCAAGGCGACGAUCCGUAACUGGUCUGAGAGGAUGAUCAGUCACACUGGAACUGAGACACGGUCCAGACUCCUACGGGAGGCAGCAGUGGGGAAUAUUGGACAAUGGGCGAAAGCCUGAUCCAGCCAUGCCGCGUGUAUGAAGAAGGCCUUCGGGUUGUAAAGUACUUUCAGCGGGGAGGCGUUACCCGCAGAAGAAGCACCGGCUAACUCCGUGCCAGCCGCCGCGGUAAUAC
rnacentral:rRNA from 1 species